rnacentral:rRNA from 1 species
UUGUGUCUUCGAGUCGUUGAUUUCACACUGCCGAGAAAAGCCUCUAGAUAGAAAAUAGGUGCCCGUACCGCAAACCGACACAGGUAGUCAAGAUGAGAAUUCUAAGGUGAGCGAGCGAACUCUCGUUAAGGAACUCGGCAAAAUGACCCCGUAACUUCGGGAGAAGGGGUGCUCUUUAGGGUUAACGCCCAGAAGAGCCGCAGUGAAUAGGCCCAAGCGACUGUUUAUCAAAAACACAGGUCUCUGCUAAACCGUAAGGUGAUGUAUAGGGGCUGACGCCUGCCCGGUGCUGGAAGGUUAAGAGGAGUGGUUAGCUUCUGCGAAGCUACGAAUCGAAGCCCCAGUAAACGGCGGCCGUAACUAUAACGGUCCUAAGGUAGCGAAAUUCCUUGUCGGGUAAGUUCCGACCCGCACGAAAGGCGUAACGAUUUGGGCACUGUCUCAACGAGAGACUCGGUGAAAUCAUAGUACCUGUGAAGAUGCAGGUUACCCGCGACAGGACGGAA